rnacentral:lncRNA from 1 species
UUUGUUUUAUAAAUUUAGCCACUAUUAUGCCAAGUGCAACAACAACUUAAUACUAAAGUACAAAGCAAAAGCUGAAAAUAGAAACAGGUUUUGAUCACACUAGCUAGUUCAAGGGUUUGACUAAUAAAGACAGUAUCACCACCGUCGGAAUGAGGAAUUCUCCGGCAAUUUCCACGGCGGAAUCCGGCAACGGAGGUGGAAUUAGAUGGUUUUCCGGCAUGGUACGCGCCGGGAAGAAGGCAUACAUGGAUAAUCAGAAGCUGAGGGAGGUUGAGAAGGCUGAGAAAGUCAUGCAUCUUAUCUGUUGGGGACCCAAAUAGUUCAUUUCUUAAUUACUGACCUCAGUAAGUAGUGCUUAUGUUCGAAUCUUGAGAAUAAAGAAUGUUUUCAGAUGAAAGCGGUUUUCUCUUUAGUGAGUUUAUAUAUUAACAAUGAAAUCUGAGUUAAUCGAAUUAAUGACUUCAAUUAUCGAAUGGUUAAUUAAAAAAAAAUAUUGUGUUUAUAACUUUUUCCUUUUUCCCCCUUUUUGGGGUUUGUUUUGCCCUUUUUUCCUGUCUUAUUGUCAUCUCCUUUUUUUUUUUUUUUUUUUUCUUUAGUUUAGUAUUGCCUAUUGUUGGGACCUGUCUUAUUGUCAUCUCUUUUUUUUUUUUUUUUUUUGCUUUAGUUUAGUAUGGCCUAAUGUUGGGAAUUGGGAUCGAACUGGGUCGGUUGUUGUUACUUGUUAGUAUGGCCUAAUGGGAGUGUCGAAAUUAUUAGUAUGUAAUUUGCUCUCAAGGAGAGUUUGUAAUUAAUAUAUUAAAUGUUGUUAAAAAUAUGUUUUGGUGGGGAUGUUUCGUCUAAAUUUUCCAAAUUGAACCAAUAUGUGCUAUUAUCAGAAAUAAAAAAUGGAAAUCAAUCUAGCAUAUUAGUAGUAAAUUUAUAACUUCACUUUAGACGAUUUCGACUUGAUUUGAGUUAUUAGUUCUGUGGUUUUACAUCUUAAUUAG